rnacentral:rRNA from 1 species
AUGGAGGAGGACGAGCACAACCUGGAUGAGGUCGCCGUGGGAGACCAUAGGCGAGAGGAAGGAGCCGUCGCUGGUUCCGCGCCCUCGCCCCGAGAGUGGCAGCCUUGCAGGAAAGAGACUCUUGAAGAGAUUUUUCAGAAAUUCUUUGGUGGUGGUGGCACUAUUGUAUGUGGACCGACUAUUGUGGCUUACUGGCUUGUGUUCCAGUUGCCACUGCUCAACAAGGAGAAGAAUGGUAGUUCACCACGUACACGUAAAUGCCUCAUGUGUGGCUCUUUCAAUGCAUUGCUGCUCUCAUCGCAUUUCACCAUUCUUCAUGCUCACACUAUGCAGAAGAUUCUUCCUGUUGGCAUGGGGCUUGAGAGAGAGGAAGAGAUACAUGUCGGCCUCUAUGCACAUUGCGCACAAGGGUUGCUGGUUAGAGAGAAAGAUUUUGAUGUGAAUUUUUGGAUAAAAUCCCUGAUUUCUCUUACUUGGAUUAUGCUGAAUCGGAUUUUUUAA